rnacentral:rRNA from 1 species
ACGUAGGUGGCAAGCGUUGUCCGGAUUUAUUGGGUUUAAAGGGUGCGUAGGCGGCCCUGUAAGUCAGUGGUGAAAUACUCUAGCUUAACUAGAGGGGUGCCAUUGAUACUGCGGGGCUUGAGUACAGAUGAGGUAGGCGGAAUUGACGGUGUAGCGGUGAAAUGCAUAGAUAUCGUCAAGAACUCCGAUAGCGAAGGCAGCUUACUAAGCUGUAACUGACGCUGAGGCACGAAAGUGUGGGGAUCAAACAGGAUUAGAUACCCUGGUAGUCCACACUGUAAACGUUGAUGACUCGAUGUUGGCGAUACACAGCCAGCGUCCAAGAGCAAUCGUUAAGUCAUCCACCUGGGGAGUACGCCGGCAACGGUG